AUCUGAUGUUGAGGGUAUUUGAUACAUAGUUUCUUAAACCUCUCCCAGUAUUCAUAGAGGGACUCGCCUGGGUGUUGUUUGAUGCCGCAUAUCUCCUUCCUUAGGCU